GCCGUGAAUACUAAUGUCUAUCAAUGUCUAAGUCCAAGUUUUAUUAUGAGAGUUUAACUUUAGUGUCUGUAUAUAUAGUGUUGUCAUGGAAAAUUCUAGAACACUCUAUAAUGGAACAUUGUGGAAAAUCCUGGAAAGUUACAACGGAAGUUUCUGGAAUAACGUAGAAGUUUAAAUUACGCAUCUUUUAUAAGGAUCAUUCUAGAAAGUUCCAAUUAUUCUGUGAUUGUUCCAGUGAUUCCUAAACUGCACAGUUAUAAGAUUA
rnacentral:lncRNA from 1 species